AUACGUAGGUGACAAGCGUUAUCCGGAUUUACUGGGCGUAAAGGGCGUGUAGGCGGUCUUGCAAGUCAGAAGUGAAAUUCCUGAGCUCAACUCGGGCGCUGCUUCUGAAACUGCAGGACUUGAGUGCUGGAGGGGAUAGCGGAAUUCCUAGUGGAGCGGUAAAAUGCGCAGAUAUUAGGAAGAACACCGGUGGCGAAGGCGGCUAUCUGGACAGUAACGGACGCUGAGGCGCGAAAGCGUGGGGAGCAAACAGGAUGAGAUCCCCUGGUAGUCCACGCCGUGAACGAUGAAUACUAGGUGUAGGGGGUAUCGACUCCCUCUGUGCCGCAGUUAACACAAUAAGUAUUCCGCCUGGGGAGUACGGCCGCAAGGUUGAAACUCAAAGGAAUUGGCGGGG
rnacentral:rRNA from 1 species